rnacentral:rRNA from 1 species
UACGUAGGGGUGCAAGCGUUAUCCGGAAUUAUUGGGCGUAAAGAGCUCGUAGGCGGUUUGUCGCGUCUGCUGUGAAAACCCGGGGCUCAACUCCGGGCCUGCAGCCGAUACGGGCAGACUAGAGUUCGGCAGGGGAGACUGGAAAUUCCUGGUGUAGCGGUGAAAAUGCGCAGAUAUCAGGAGGAACACCGGUGGCGAAGGCGGGUCUCUGGGCCGAUACUGACGUGAGGAGCGAAAGCGUGGGGAGCAAAACAGG